GUGUACCCCGCCUCUCGCCCGUAGUCAGCUGGGAUAGGCUCCAGCUCCCCCACGACCCUGACAGAUAUAGCAGUAUAGAAAAUGGAUGGAUGGAUGCAUGGAUAGUAAAUGUACCACAGCCCAGGCUUUUUACAACAGGCUUUUUACAACAGGCUUUUUUUCCCCUAUUUGUUUAUUUAUUAACUGCUCAGUUAUAGUUUCUGUAAAUUUAUUUCAUUCUAAGUUUUCCCAUAUUGCCACCAGUGGACAGUGUGCAGGUGUUUGAACUCCUGCACACUGUCACCUCUAUGUUUAUUGAAAAUGAAUCAUUUAGGCCACAGGACUUUGUGUCUGACUUUAAGUUUUCCCUUAUUUUGCAGAAACUGUCAACACCUACGUGAUGGACUGGCUCACAAGUUUGUCCCAGAAGAUGAAUCCUAAAGGGCUAUACUGAUCCUCUCAGCAGCCAGCAAGUCGUCCCGACAGGUCGGCAGGUUGACAAACGUGAAGAUGUUAUACUCGAUGAGGCAGGAGAAACACAGGAAGAUGGAGUAGAGGAGGAGACACAUCAGACCCAAACGCUUGUCCAAAGUCCACUUGUUUAGGUGAACUCCAAGGACCUGAUUGGACAGAUUGGGACAAACACAGAGAGAGAGAGAGACAAGUCAGGAAGCUGUCAGAGGCUGAAACUGUAGAGAUUCAGGAUUCAGUUCAGUUAUCAUUAUAUCACACAGGGUAUAAUGAAAUUACAGAUGUCUCUUUAUGUGAAAGUGUCCUAUUACAGAACUUAAUGAGUCAAGACAUGUAUAAGACAUGUCAUAUACUCACGGUCAGAAACACAGACGCCAGCAGGAGUCCCACAGAGAAGAUCAGGCCUUUGCUGUUCAGUUUGAUCUACAGGAGGAUCACGGGUGAGACAUUAGCAUCACCACCGGCACGUCUACGCCAAUAUGACGAAAAGGAUGAUGAACGAGAGCCGAAACAAGUCUUCCUGUCACCAUGUUUGCAAACUCAAAGCUGCAGAUUUACAGACGUUGUACCCAAACUUAAGUCCUCCACCGGUCCCCCUGAUCCACUUCCAUCCACUUGGCAGCAUUAACUCUAACAUCACAGACUGUCAUAGGGACAUUGUGGACGUUCCCGUACGUAACUGAGCGUGGACGAAUCAACACCCUCUCUGUAUAUUUCGUUAAAGCUGGAAGAAGAAAUGAGGAGCGUGGGACUUACGUCAGAGCCGUAGUUGAUAGCGAGGGUCUUCAGGGCCCAGGGUAGACCAAGCCCAACCAAGAUGUCAAACACGUUACUGCCGAUGGAGUUGGACACCGCCAUGUCUCCCAUUCCUGAACAAGGGAACAGGAAAAGAAAUGUUACAGAGUCUGGGAGACAGAGGUGGUGGGGGUGAGGAGGAGGAGGAGGGAGAGGAGGCAACAUGUUUGGAUGAAGGCAGGUCAGCCCCCAAUGAGAUCACUGGAACUAUCUGUCCAAAUGACAUCCCGAAUGAAACAGCGAAGCGACAGCGGCUACAAAGCGAAGGACGGACGGCUAACCUGCGGUGGCAAGCGUUCGUCUCCCAGUGAGCCUCCCCACGCAGACAGACAGGGCCGUUUAAAUAUUUGAUGGCAGGAGCAAGAAUAAACACAGAUGAAAGGAUGGAGGAAGGGACCCUGAUGGGCUGUCUUCCCUCUGCACCACCCCUCUCACAACCCCCUUUCACAGCCUCACCACAGGGACAGAAGAGGGACAAAAAGAGGACAGGCCCACACCACCUACCCCAACACCCCCCCACCCAUCCAAAAACCACCACACUCCUCUCCAUCCUCUCUCUCUCUCUCUCUCUCUGUCAUCUCCACCCCUCUCCAGCUCUUUGAUAGUGGCUUCCCUUUGAUUCUCCGUGGCUUCCAUCGGGCAGCAAGGUCACGUGUCCAACUCUUUGUGUACUUUUUACACGUUAACCCGCUCGGCUUCGGUUUUAAAGUCAGACACACGCAAACAACUUUUACUACUGUCACUUUACUGUCACUUCCCGUGUUAAAUGUGUGAUUACCUUGUCUUGCCACGAUGAGGCUGGCCAUGCAGUCCGGUACGCUGGUGCCAGCCGCCAAGAAGGUGAUGCCCAUGAUGACGUCUGGGAUGCCGAGCGUGAAGCCUAUAACCGUAACCUGAGACACACACACACACACAAAGACAGAAAUGUUGGCUGUUAGAUCCAGUGGCGUUUUCACACUUUGCAUGUUUUUAACAUUCCUCAGGGGCACAGGUGAAAAGAAUCUAGCUAAUCUUGACUUUGUUUGCAGUCUCUUCCUCUGCAUCUAUGUGCUUCUAAAUUGCUCUUAUUUCAUAUUUUCACCAAUGCACUUCCUCCUCCAGAUGCAGACCUUCCUCCCUGCUCCAGUUUGGUCUUCUUUUUCAUUCUACAUCAGCCAAUUUUCUCUAAUUUCACCCUUGUUUAUACGGCUAAAGGGGAGCUCUAUUAAUUCCGCACAUCGACUGCUGCUAGGAAUAUUAAAGAUUUCACACAAAUAUAAUUAACUUCAAAAUAAUCAAGUUGCUCAGGCUCUGGCAGAAAAGCAUGUCACUCUAUUUUUCUUUUUUGUUUUUCUAUGUACAUGUCUGUGAGUUUGCCCUCCCCUGUGUCUCUUCCCAUCUCUCACCAUCCAGACCAUGAUGUAGGAGAAGCCGGCGAUCCACAGGGUGGAGGAGACGAAGGACAGCAUGAACCAGUUGUCCCAGCGAGGCGUGGAGCAGUUGGGGACGGUGAAGUACAGGAGCAGGCACAGAGGCCAGGCCAGCAGCCACUUCAGCUUGUUACACACACCGGCUGCAAACACACAGGACACCAUACCGUGUUACGCUGAGUCAGCACCCAGAUACAUGGGCUGCAUGAAGAGGGAAUAAUCUGCUGUCUAACACCUAACCGGGCCCUGUCCACAGCUAAAACAAGUGUGGCUGCUAACACCUCUAAAGCUCCAGCUCUGGACAUAACACACAGAUGUGAGAGCGGCCCUGGUUUUCCAAUUUCCCUCUUAGAAGGAAAACAAAAGUAUUUCUAAAAAUGCUGAACUAGUUUUUAAAACAUACCUGGGCACUGGAAAGGUACAAAGGGUCCCUCUCCAUCCUCUUCUUCUUCCUCUUCAUCAUUCUCAUUGUUCUCGUUGUCCUCGUUCUCCGUCUCGUUACCCGUCUCUCGGUCAUCGUGGCGAAUGUUGAGACCCCUCUCUGCUCCGGACAGCCCGUUUUCAAUGCCCCGCCUACUUCCUCCUUUCACCGGAACAUCGGAGUCGCCAUUGGUCAAAGUCCGUGUGUUGAUUAGACGCUGCCUCUGUAUCACGAACACACACACACACACACACCCAUGCACAAAAACAUAAAAGCACGAGGGGUUAAAUUCUAAAUUACAUUCAUACAUUUCUACUUACGUCUGCUCAGAUGAAUUUCACUUAAGGAAACAUUAUGAAAUGAAAAAUAGAAAAUAUAUAUUUCUUCUUCAAGUGGACUUCAGCUAAGUGAUGGACCAAAAGGUAUGUUCGCUGCUCAGUAACAGGUCAUGUCUGGCCUCCGUGCAGCAGCAGAUUACCUUGUUAAAGACCCUGUCUGAAACGCUUUUCCCUCUGAGUAAAAGACGCCGCAGCUUCUUUUCAAAUUGCUUCUUUUUUUUCUCUCUCUCCCUCUCUCUCUUUUUUUUUUUUUUUCAAUCAGAAAUGCAGCCGCAGCGUGCCCGUGUGCCCGUCCUCACCUCUGUGAUGAGCAUUCGCGAGGCCAUGGUGAGGCGGGUUCUGGGGGAGAAGUGGCUGGUGAUCAUGAUCCUCAUGCCAGCCUCGGAGAAGGACAGCUGAUGGGGGUACGCUGACAGCAGCUCGUCCACCAUCAGCACUGACGGCUUCCUGUGGUGGUUUGCUAGAAGACACACACACACACACAUAUGACCACUACAGAACAUGUCCAUGCAUUCCAGACCAUGUAAUGACUGUACAUGUCAAACUACAGCAGAGGACCCCACAUUAGGAUUUGGGGUUUUUAGAGCAGCUGCUUUUAUUCUUCCAUGUGGUUUGUUUUCAUAGGUUUUCAGGUGAAGCAGGUGUUCAUGCUAGCUAACCUGCUCAUCACCUGGUGGCACAAUUGCAAAGUCCCUGUAACACCAGAGCCGGGCUGAACCUCCUUACCUGAGCCCUGAGCCAUGUAAACUGUUUUCAUAUAUAAAAUACUGUUACUCCUUACUGAAAGAUGUGUGUCCAUAUUGCAGUUAAUCAACAUUUUAAAUUCAAUAUCUAGGCACUCACUGAAUUAUUGUAAUGUAACAAACACACAGCUGGACGUGCGUACCUUUCUUCAGCAGAACAGCUGUAGCAUCACAGCCGUCGUCCAGCUCAGCGUUACUGGCCGCUCCGUUCCUCAGACUGGACGAGUUCUUCUUCCUCCUCUCCAGAAAACGAACCACAUGGGAAUUCAACCUGGAACAGACAUGGAGCGAUCCAGUUCACCAGCAGUUCACGGCUUCAUUGCUUAGGAGAGGACUCUUAUUCAUUAAUUAUUUGUCAGUCAAUAAUCAUCAGUCCUGUAAGAGAAGGAGGUGUUUGAAUCAAACUUACUUCAUGAUCAAAAUGUAGACAAAAUACAUCAGAAUCAGCGUGAGGGCCUCCCACCUGGAAGAAAAAAAAACACAGUUCGACUCAGUUUACCAUGUGUACUUUUAGCAAACUGGAAUUCAUAGAUGUCUCGUCACAUUCCUUGUAAUUCCAGCAAUCAAUGCUUAUAUAAAUCUGACUCACCAAACCACUUUUUCAUCGUAUAUGAACUGUAGAAAAGAAGAGAGAUAGAGAGAGAGAGAGCAGUGAAAAUCACAGGCCUGAACAUGUGUAUCUAUACAGCUGUGGAAAACCACUCAUUGUAAAAAGGAAAAUAUAAAUACAAUCAGAUUUAUCAGUCCAGCUGGUUGUUAAAGUGAGAUGGUAAAACUUUUCAUCAAUCAAUAUAAUGUGUAAUGUUCAUGUGACUGAGUUUGUGCUUUAUCAAGCUGCUUCUUACCACUAUGAGAGCAGAGAUCGACAGAGUGUAGUAGACAGAGUCUCUGAGCAGAGGCCAGCAGGACAGACGGACUGUCUGGGAGAGAGAAGGACACACACACACACACACACACACAGAAGGAAUGAAAUGAAAUGAUGCUACAACUUGCAGACACUGAGCUCCAAUUUCUGUCCUGUUGAGUAACACAUCCCACAAGGUACUCACUGCUGUGCACGACUAACAAGAUAAACCAACCAAGCUCUCUCUCUCUGAGUGUGUGUGUAUGUGUGGCUCUUAUGUAACUUGUAAUCUAAAUAGAAAAAAAAAAAAUCUUUCAAGUAUGUUUCUCUUUUCCUUGUGGGAUUAUAGCAGUGAACAGGACAGAUAACACUUUCUACCACACACACACUCACUUCUGCUGCAAAAUAAAAGCAGCUGUGAUGAGAGUGUGUGUACUCUUCAUCCGAGGUUUUUCAUGUGAACGCCGAUGUGUCGACUUAGGCGCGCUUGCAAAUGGUUUUCAGACUGGCCCGAGGCAGACACAAUCAAGCAUAAAGAAAAUUUGAAAGAAUAAAUAUUGCUCGGCACAACAUCUGUCUGUCUGCGUUUUUUAUUUUUUACGUAUGUAUGUAUGAAGUGGCCUUAAAUGGUUUAAUUGCUGCUUUUCCUCACACAAGCAGUGCUUAAAGUUCUUGGUAAAAAUUUGGAAGAACAUUACUGACAUGGUCACUGUGUGUUGUGUUGUGUUGUGUUGUACCUGCAGGGUGAAUAUCCCACACACUCCAAUAAUGCAGAGGAUGUUGAAGACGGCUGAGCCCACGAUGGUGCCGACCCCGACGUCACCUUUAGUGAUGAACACUCCUGCACACACGGGGACACAGAGAGCUGCAGGAAGGUUCAGCUGACACAGGAGUGGGUGCUUCACUGUCCCACUGGAAACAAGUGCUUUGGACAGAUGAAGUUAAAACGGAGCUCUUUGCACUUUGCCAACAGUUCAGCAUGGAGGGGCCUUUUCCAGUUUGUCUUCCAGCGCAGUGUAACUGAUUUAAACCUACACGAAUGAAGAAACCAACAAGAUUCGUCUCAAACAAAUGUGUGCGAUGCAGCGAUGCAGGUGACACUCACACAGAGGACGUGCAGGCCCACCGCUCCUUCAGCUCUCUCCUGGUUGGUGAAGUAAUCCCUGGGGAACUCGUGGAUUGCUGCAGAGAGAGAAAAAAAAAAUGCACAAAUGCUGAAUGAACUGAAGAUACCCAAAGGGCGGAAUGUCUCAUCAACCCAAAUCUUCCUCAUCAUUCUCCUCUGAUGUACAAGUCAGCUGUGCCUGGUAACCACCCCUACAACCCCCUCCUGGUCCACCGUUGUCUCCCACACCAGGCUGAAAUGGACGGCUGCAGACCGUGAGGCUUGUGGACAGUCUGCUGCAGUGCUCACACUGUUCACUCUCAGCACACGAGCCCGAGAUCAGUCAGCGGCUGAAAAGGGAUAAAGAUGAAAGGCUCCACCAGUGAAGGAAACAUGGAUGAAAUUGAAGGAUGAGGAAUGCUCCCUGUGACCCUGUGGAGGGAAUCUGAAGGGAAAAACAAAGUGAGCAGAUCAUCACAGAUCUCCGGUUAGCCUUUGCUUCUCUUCUUUUUCUCUUCUCCAUCAGUGAAACCCAGCGUGAACCCAUCUGAGAUCUGAAGACUGACUCCACGGUUCCACGGUGCCCCUCGACGGGACACACCAUUUAAUCACCCUCCUCUCCACAAUGACAGCUUCACCACUGUGACAGGCAUUUAACGAGCUCCGGCCCGGGAAUAUGCUGUUGUCUGUCGUUCUGUAUGCGUGCAACCCCCCCCCGUCAUAUUUCUGACACAUAGAGCUGAGUAAAGUGAUCUCUGAGUCGAGAGAGGGGAAAAGAAGGAAGAGGGGAGAUUUAAACUACACUGCACAGGACGACAGCGUCGACGCAGGCUCAAGCAUGUGUAAAUGUGAGACAGACGCAAAUAACAAAAACCACACAUAGAGGGACAGAGGGAGUGAUCAUAUCUGUGUGUGGAGGCCUGUGUGUAUCCAUCUGUGGCACAUCAGUGACAGCAAGAGCUGCUUUCUGUUGCAGAUGGAGAAAACUACACAACUUUUUGUGUGUGUGUGUGUGUGUGUGCCACUUCCUAGCUAAAGGUUACAUGGUAAUACUGGCAUUUAAUCGGUGAAGCAGCAAACGUGGGCAGCAAGAAAUCAGAGUAUGACCUGUGCUGACCUGGGACUCAUAUUAUACAUAUUCACACAGAAAAAUCAAUAUAAUCUUUUGUCAAUGUCUCACCUGUGGAUGAUGGCGUGUGUAAAGUAGGUGUCCAAUAUAUUUCUCUGCCCCUAUAUUUGAUCUGCCUCUAAGCUGUGUUGUUAUUAUUGUUGUUUCAUUCUAUGAAACAUAUAACUAUUGUUUAAAAAGGUGAUGAUUGGCCUACAUGUGGAAAUACAGUCAGUCCUGUGAUCACAUCUUUGCAUGUAGAUGAAGCUCGUAUCGAUGACAUACAGUAUAUUUUAAAAAGA